CAGCAGCCGCGGUAAUACGAAGGUCCCGAGCGUUGUUCGGAAUCACUGGGCGUAAAGGGAGCGUAGGCGGCGUGGUAAGUCAGAUGUGAAAUCCCGGGGCUCAACCCCGGAACUGCAUCCGAUACUGCCAUGCUAGAGGAUUGGAGAGGUAGCUGGAAUUCUUGGUGUAGCAGUGAAAUGCGUGGAGAUCAAGAGGAACACUCGUGGCGAAAGCGAGCUACUGGACAAUAACUGACGCUGAGGCUCGAAGGCCAGGGUAGCGAAAGGGAUUAGAUACCCCAGUAGUCCCUGUCUCUUAUAC
rnacentral:rRNA from 1 species